AAACCUGCCAGAUUUGCAGUUCCUCAGGAAAAUGAUGCAUGUCAAGGAUUUUACAGAGAAAAAGUAUCGGGUUUUUUUUUUUUUUUUUUUUUUUUUUUGAGAAAGGAUCUUCUUCUGUUGCCCUCAAUCUGUGAUCCUCCUUCUGCCUAGGCCUCCUAUAGGAGCCACAUCACCAGACUGAGGAAUACGUUCUUAGAAGAGUCACUAACGGCCACGUGAGUAAAAUAGCCAAGGAGACAUUGACGUGAAUGAGCGGUGGUGAGCCCUGUGUGAACAUCCUUAUAUAACCGAAGCCAUACACAGAAUCUGACUCCACACCAGACCUAUUUCAAUAGCAAGGAUGGAGCAUCAGUGGACAAGAAGCUGAAAUUUAGAACAGAGAUCAUCAAGCAUUUUAAUUCUGUGCUUCCGUGCAGUCUAGAAUUCGCAACUUCUGGAGCUAAUUUCUUGCAUUUGAGGCUUGUCUAUAGGCCAAACUGAUGGAAACAUUUUGUCAGCUGAGAUUCUCUUUCUCCCCCAGAUGUUCACUUGCGUCAAGUUGGCAAAAAACUAAGGAACACACACUCUGCCUCCAUGGGAAGAAUUCCUGUUCUCAGCGGUACAACACCUUGGGACUUUAAUUGGCCUGUUCUGAUUGGAUGAGCAUUGGUCUGGUCACAAAGAAGAGCAUCUGAAUCUGUGGUUAAAAGAGAUGCUGAAGAAGUAACAGUUCCUAGAAGAUAACUCUUUAGAGAAGAGAAGAAAAGUUCUGUGGAGGAAGAAGGAUACCAGGGGUGGUGGUUUUUCUGUCUGGGUCUUUGCUCCCAGCCUCCUCAAGAGCAAUCUACAAAAGCAGACCAGCUUUCAGAAGACUCAGUGAGGAGUGUUUCCUAGAAGAAUAGAGUGUUCUAGAGAUGGUGGGAGUGUGUCUGACCUGGGGAUACAAGGGUCAUUACAUGCUCAGUCCACUCAAUCCCUAUCAUUGGUCCUUCCCUUAGGACUAUGUGUUUGAAGACAUGACACUGAGCCCCCAUAGCAGGACUGAUGCAGCAUUGUUUGGAAGGCCUUUGCUCUUAAAGGCCUGUUGGGGAGUGCUUCCAGAUACCAAGGUAGUCCUCUGCCACCCCCCAAGAAAGCUACUACCUGUUAAUUCCCUCCUGUUGUCAACUGUUAUAAUUGUUUUCUAGAUCUGGCUUGUCCUCUCCUUAUUCCAUUUUCAUUCAGAACCCCUAGAAUCAGAGCUUUGAAAGACCUUCCAUUGUAUCAGUUCUGUGAAGUCCUAGGUGGCCUUUCUCAAUGGCUUGGUAGUUUUGGGCUCUGUCUCCUUUCAUCCCACCCAGUCAAGGGUAGGGCUGUGCUACAGCAUUGUAUCACUCCAUGGAAGCCGCUCCUUUGUCCUGAUCAUAAUACUCAUGGAGUCAUUUGUGUCCAGAUUCACCGACUUUCUUUUCUCCAAGCCCGCAAUGAUGAGGGCUCUGAUGACUUUUGUUACUUCUGGAUCCCCAGAACCCAGUCCAGCUCAGUUUCAUAGUCAGCACCAGGUUAGAUGAGUGAAUUAACACAUCACCUCCAAGGAACAGCUGUUGAUCUGGUGUAAAAUGGAAAUAAAUUUUAGAUACUGUUAUGGCUUGAGAGUAAAAUGUACCUCAUAGACUCGUUCUAGUUGGUGGUUCUGUUUAGGGAAGUGUGGAGUCUAUGAGAGUUUGGGCUUUGUCAGAGGAAAUAGGUCACUGGUGGGGACCAGCCUGAGGUUUGAGUUCCUUCCUUGGCUUCCCUUAUGAUGGGCUGUAACCUGUAAGCCAAAUAAACCCUUUCCUGCCCAGGUUGCUUUUGGCUAGUAUUUUAUCACAACAGAAAACAAACAAGAAUAGAGGGUUAGGAUUGAUAUGCUAUUGCCCCUGGUGAUUGGUGUUUUCUUUUUGACAAAGUGUGUGUGUGUUUGUGUUUGCGUGUGUGUGUGUGUGUGUGUGUGUGUGCGCGCGUGAAAUUCAGGUUUUCUGUUAAUCAAUCUGCCUCUAAUCAGACAGUUUACCACUGUCAUUUUUAGUCCAAAUAUGGAAGACUCUCAUGAAGUGGCAAGGCCUUAGCGCUUCUACACAAGAUCGCUCUUUUGUGAAUGUCAUUAGCACAAUUUUCCAACAGCCCCACUCUUGGGGGUAAUUUCCUAACUUAUGCCUCCUUUCUCUGCUGGAGACCACAGUCUUCCCUUCCUCCACUUCACUCUCAGAAUGAGUGUUUGGUGGCAGGAGGUGAGAGAGGUCUUAGAGUAUACUUGUGAGUAACGGAAAGCCUAGCCUGUGUCUUUGGAUAUAGAGAGGUGAAAGGGGCAUUUCCUUCUUUGUUGCAAACCAGUGUUCAAUAUAUAUAAAAAAAGCUGUUAUCAUUUAAACUGAGGUAUGAUGAGCACUUGUAAUGCCAGUGCUUGGAAGGCUGUGGCAGAAGGAUGGGGUGUUCAAAGCUUGCUUGAACUACAUAGUGAGUAAGGCAGUCCAGUCUACCUAUGAUUCCUCCAUCCCUCCUAAAGCUGAGAAUAGAACUAAAAAGGCUGAUUUGACCUUCUGAGUCUGUGUUCUCACUUUCCCACAAUGUCUCAUGCUCUGAAGGGUUUUCUGAGGGAGAGCGAUAGAGUCCAGGGUCAAGAGGCCCUUAGCAUAAGCAUGCUUUUUACAAAAGAGAUGGGAAGUCCAUGCAAUAUCCAAAGCAGUGAGUUUCUCAGAGGAAUGUCAGGCAACAUGGAGACCUAUAUGAAAAUAUGAAGGCUUCAGUUUCUGGGCUGGGAGAUAGCUUACAGGUAAAGAAGCUUGCCUGAAGACUGAUGGCCUGAGUUCCAUCCCUAGAAGCAGCACGGUAGGAAAGAGCCAGCUACUGAAAGUUGAUCUCUGUGUGCCUCCACAGGCACACAGUGACCUAUGGCCUCUAUAUACACACCAGGAUCUAUGGCUUCUACACACACAUACAAAUGAAUGAAUGAAUGAAUGAAUGGAUGGAUGAAUGAAUAGAUAGAUAGAUAGAUAGAUAGAUAGAUUGAUAGAUAGAUAGAUAGAUAGACAGAUAUUUAAAUGUAGCCUAUGAGACAAUCCCAGGACAUGCAUGUUUUUUUCAAACAUGUUGAGGCAUAAGUGAUUUAUAAUAAACACACAUAUUUAAAGCGCAGUUCAAUUUGUUUAGACCUCUGGAUGUCCCACGAGUAUGUAACCACAAUCAAAACAGUAUCCAUCAACCCUUUAGGUUGCUUCGGUCCUUUGUUCCUUUGCAGUUCAUCUUUCUGUCCCCUCGCACUACUCCGCAGUUUUCAGAACUGUGAAUGAACCCUGUCACAAGUCACACAGCAUGCGCUUCCCUUGGCCUGGCUUCUUUCACGGAGGUAAUUACUUUUGAAAUCCAUCUACGUUGUUACCUGUUUCCGCAGCUCAAGCUUGGGUUGCUUUUUUUAUUAUUCAGCAGAUGCAGGAUGCUUUGUUUAUGGACACUUGAAUUGUUUCUAAUUGUUGACUGUUAACAAAUAAAUUUGCUUGGAGCAUUUGCAAACAAGUGCAAAUAUGCUGAAAUACAGCCUAAAACAUUUCUUCCUUCUUCGGGUGACAUUCUUUUAGUUGUCCCCAGUGUCUACCUAUAAAACCAAGCAUAGGCCAUCUAGUCUUCAAUGCUGGUUUUGUAAAAAAACAAGAGGACAAAAAAAGGGGGGGGGGAGGUGGUGUGUCUUGGCCCAUGUUUACAGUCCACUGUGAUGACCCUUUAAGUGGCCAGUAGCAUAGAUUCUGUGACCAGUGAUCAUCACAGAAUCAGGAAUGGCUCAGAGAAGCAUGAAGGACUGAUUGAGAUCA